UACAGAGGGUGCGAGCGUUAAUCGGAAUUACUGGGCGUAAAGCGUGCGUAGGCGGUUUCGUGUGUCGGAUGUGAAAGCCCCGGGCUCAACCUGGGAAUUGCAUUCGAAACUGCGAGGCUAGAGUGCGGAAGAGGGAAGUGGAAUUUCCGGUGUAGCGGUGAAAUGCGUAGAUAUCGGAAGGAACACCAGUGGCGAAAGCGACUUCCUGGUCCAGUACUGACACUGAGGCACGAAAGCGUGGGGAGCAAACAGG
rnacentral:rRNA from 1 species